rnacentral:rRNA from 1 species
AGGGUUUGAUCCUGGCUCAGAACGAACGCUGGCGGCGUGGUUAAAGCAUGCAAGUCGAACGGAAAGGCACUGACGGAUCCUUCGGGUGAAGUCAGUGUACUCGAGUGGCGAACGGGCGAGUAACGCAUGGGAACGUGCCCUAGGCUCGAGGAUAGCUGCGGGAAACUGCAGGUAAUACUCGAUAAUACCUUCGGGUCAAAGAUUUAUCGGCCUUGGAUCGGCCCAUGUCCUAUCAGCUUGUUGGUGAGGUAACGGCUCACCAAGGCAGCGACGGGUACCGGGACUGAGAGGUUGAACCGGCGCAUUGGGACUGAGACACAGCCCAGACUCCUACGGGAGGCUGCAGCAACGAAUAUUCCGCAACGGGCGAAAGCCUGACGGAGCGACGCCGCGUGUGGGAUGAAGUCCUUCGGGAUGUAAACCACUGUCAGGGGUUACCAAUUACUGAGGAGCCCCAGAGGAAGCCACGGCUAACUUCGUGCCAGCAGCCGCGGUAAGACGAAGGUGGCUAGCGUUGUUCGGAAUCAUUGGGCUUAAAGGGCGCGUAGGCGGCCCGUCAAGUGUCUUGUGAAAUCCCUCGGCUCAACCGAGGAAUGGCAGGGCAUACUGUCGGGCUUGAGGCAGGUAGGGGCGAGUGGAACUCUUGGUGGAGCGGUGGAAUGCGUAGAUAUCAAGAGGAACGCCGAUGGUGAAGACAACUCGCUGGGCCUGUCCUGACGCUGAGGCGCGAAAGCCAGGGGAGCGAACGGGAUUAGAUACCCCGGUAGUCCUGGCCCUAAACGAUGCCUACUAGGUCGGAGGCACUCUGACGUGGUUCCGGCCGGAAUGAAAACAUUAAGUAGGCCGCCUGGGGAGUACGGUCGCAAGGCUAAAACUCAAAGGAAUUGACGGGGGCUCACACAAGCGGUGGAGCAUGUUGCUUAAUUCGAUGCAACGCGAAGAACCUUAUCCUGGGCUUGACAUGUUUGGAUGCCUACCUGGAAACAGGAUCGGCUGCCCUUCGGGGUGAAACAUACACAGGUGCUGCAUGGCUGUCGUCAGCUCGUGUCGUGAGAUGUCGGGUUAAGUCCCAUAACGAGCGAAACCCCUGUCGCUAGUUGCCAGCGGUUCGGCCGGGGACUCUAGCGAGACUGCCGGUGUUAAACCGGAGGAAGGUGGGGAUGACGUCAAGUCCUCAUGGCCUUUAUGCCCAGGGCUGCAAACGUGCUACAAUGGUAGGUACAAACCGACGCAAGACGGUAACGUCGAGCAAAUCGGAAAAAGCCUGCCCCAGUUCGGAUUGAGGUCUGCAACUCGACCUCAUGAAGUUGGAAUCGCUAGUAAUCGCAGAUCAGCUACGCUGCGGUGAAUGUGUUCCUGAGCCUUGUACACACCGCCCGUCAAGUCAUGGAAGCUGGGAGCACCCGAAGUCGCCCCGCCUCAGGGGUGCCGAAGGUGAGCUUGGUAACUAGGACUAAGUCGUAACAAGGUA